UACGUAGGGUCCAAGCGUUAUCCGGAAUCACUGGGCGUAAAGCGUGCGUAGGUGGCGUGUUAAGUGUGAUGUUAAAUCGCGGGGCUCAACCCUGUCGAUGUGUCGCAUACUGGCAUGCUAGAGGGAAGCAGAGGCAAGUGGAAUUUGUAGUGUAGCAGUGAAAUGCGUAGAUAUUACAAGGAACACCAAUGGCGAAGGCGGCUCACUGGCCCGGUACUGACGCUGAGGUGCGAAAGCGUGGGGAGCAAACAGG
rnacentral:rRNA from 1 species